rnacentral:rRNA from 1 species
GUUUGAUCCUGGCUCAGGAUGAACGCUGGCGGCGUGCCUAAUACAUGCAAGUCGAACGCACUAGCAAUAGUGAGUGGCGAACGGGUGAGUAACACGUAGGUAACUUACCUCUAAGACGAGGAUAACGACUGGAAACGGUCGCUAAAACUGGAUAGGAUCACUGGAGUCAUCUCUGGUGAUUUAAAAGGGCUUAACAGCCAUACUUAGAGAAAGGCCUGCGGCGCAUUAGCUAGUUGGUGAGGUAGAGGCUCACCAAGGCGAUGAUGCGUAGCCGGACUGAGAGGUCGAACGGCCACAUUGGGACUGAGACACGGCCCAAACUCCUACGGGAGGCAGCAGUAGGGAAUUUUCGGCAAUGGGGGAAACCCUGACCGAGCAACGCCGCGUGAAUGAAGAAGUAUUUCGGUAUGUAAAGUUCUUUUAUUAAGGAAGAAUGUGUUUUAUAGGAAAUGAUAGAACAGUGACGGUACUUAAUGAAUAAGCCCCGGCUAACUAUGUGCCAGCAGCCGCGGUAAUACAUAGGGGGCAAGCGUUAUCCGGAAUUAUUGGGCGUAAAGGGUGCGUAGGCGGUCAUUUAAGUCUAAGGUGUAAGUGCAAGGCUCAACCUUGUGAUGCUUUAGAAACUGGGAGACUAGAGAUAGAUAGAGGCAAGUGGAAUUCCAUGUGUAGCGGUAAAAUGCGUAAAUAUAUGGAGGAACACCAGUGGCGAAGGCGACUUGCUGGGUCUAUACUGACGCUGAGGCACGAAAGCGUGGGGAGCAAACAGGAUUAGAUACCCUGGUAGUCCACGCCGUAAACGAUGAGUACUAAGUGUUGGGGGAACCCAGUGCUGUAGUUAACAUAUUAAGUACUCCGCCUGAGUAGUACGUACGCAAGUAUGAAACUCAAAGGAAUUGACGGGACCCCGCACAAGCGGUGGAUGAUGUUGUUUAAUUCGAAGAUACGCGAAAAACCUUACCAGGUCUUGACAUACUCUGCAAAGCUAUAGAGAUAUAGUGGAG